rnacentral:rRNA from 1 species
AUUGAACGCUGGCGGCAGGCCUAACACAUGCAAGUCGAGCGAGCGGCGGACGGGUGAGUAAUGUAUGGGGACUGCCCGAUAGAGGGGGAUAACUACUGGAAACGGUGGCUAAUACCGCAUACUAUCGGAUAACCCAUAUGGGAUUAGCUAGUAGGUGGGGUAAAGGCUCACCUAGGCGACGAUCUCUAGCUGGUCUGAGAGGAUGAUCAGCCAAACUGGGACUGAGACACGGCCCAGACGCCGACGGAGGGAGCAAUGGGGAAUUUUGCACAAUGGGGUGAAUGCUUAAGCCGGCAAGGCGGGGUGUUGAAGAAGGCCUUAAGGGUGUAAAAUUCCUUCAGGGGGGAGGCGUUUCCCCCCGGAGAAGCACCGGCUAACUCCGUGCCAGCAGCCGCGGUAAUUC